GAUGAACGCUGGCGGCGUGCCUAAUACAUGCAAGUCGAGCGAAUGGAUUAAGAGCUUGCUCUUAUGAAGUUAGCGGCGGACGGGUGAGUAACACGUGGGUAACCUGCCCAUAAGACUAGGAUAACUACGGGAAACCGGGGCUAAUACCGGAUACCAUUUUGAACCGCAUGGUUCGAAAUUGAAAGGCGGGUUCGGCUGUCACUUAUGGAUGGACCCGCGUCGCAUUAGCUAGUUGGUGAGGUAACGGCUCACCAAGGCAACGAUGCGUAGCCGACCUGAGAGGGUGAUCGGCCACACUGGGACUGAGACACGGCCCAGACUCCUACGGGAGGCAGCAGUAGGGAAUCUUCCGCAAUGGACGAAAGUCUGACGGAGCAACGCCGCGUGAGUGAUGAAGGCUUUCGGGUCGUAAAACUCUGUUGUUAGGGAAGAACAAGUGCUAGUUGAAUAAGCUGGCACCUUGACGGUACCUAACCAGAAAGCCACGGCUAACUACGUGCCAGCCGCCGCCGUAA
rnacentral:rRNA from 1 species